CCUACGGGCGGCAGCAGUGGGGAAUAUUGGACAAUGGGGGGAACCCUGAUCCAGCCAUGCCGCGUGUGUGAAGAAGGCCCUCGGGUUGUAAAGCACUUUCAGUGAGGAAGAACGCCUGGUGGUUAAUACCCAUCAGGAAAGACAUCACUCACAGAAGAAGCACCGGCUAACUCCGUGCCAGCAGCCGCGGUAAUACGGAGGGUGCGAGCGUUAAUCGGAAUUACUGGGCGUAAAGCGCGCGUAGGUGGCUUGAUAAGCCGGUUGUGAAAGCCCCGGGCUCAACCUGGGAACGGCAUCCGGAACUGUCAAGCUAGAGUGCAGGAGAGGAAGGUAGAAUUCCCGGUGUAGCGGUGAAAUGCGUAGAGAUCGGGAGGAAUACCAGUGGCGAAGGCGGCCUUCUGGACUGACACUGGCACUGAGGUGCGAAAGCGUGGGUAGCAAACAGGAUUAGAUACCCCAGUAGUC
rnacentral:rRNA from 1 species